rnacentral:rRNA from 1 species
CAGCCGCCGCGGUAAUACGAAGGUCCCGAGCGUUGCUCGGUAUCACUGGGCGUAAAGGGAGCGUAGGCGGCGUGGUAAGUCAGAUGUGAAACCCCGAGGCUCAACCCCGGAACUGCAUCCGAUACUGCCGUGCUAGAGGAUUGGAGAGGUAGCUGGAAUUCUUGGUGUAGCAGUGAAAUGCGUGGAGAUCAAGAGGAACACUCGUGGCGAAAGCGAGCUACUGGACAAUAUCUGACGCUGAGGCUCGAAGGCCAGGGUAGCGAAAGGGAUUAGAUACCCGUGUAGUCCCUGUCUCUUAUAA